rnacentral:rRNA from 1 species
GAUGAACGCUGGCGGCGUGCUUAACACAUGCAAGUCGAACGGUGAACGAGGGAGCUUGCUCCCUCCGGAUCAGUGGCGAACGGGUGAGUAACACGUGAGCAAUCUGCCCCGAACUCUGGGAUAAGCGCUGGAAACGGCGUCUAAUACCGGAUACGACGCGCGAAGGCAUCUUCUGCGCGUGGAAAGAAUUUCGGUUCGGGAUGAGCUCGCGGCCUAUCAGCUAGUUGGUGAGGUAACGGCUCACCAAGGCGACGACGGGUAGCCGGCCUGAGAGGGUGACCGGCCACACUGGGACUGAGACACGGCCCAGACUCCGACGGGAGGCAGCAUUGGGGAAUAUUGCACAAUGGGCGCAAGCCUGAUGCAGCAACGCCGCGUGAGGGACGACGGCCUUCGGGUUGUAAACCUCUUUUAGCAGGGAAGAAGCGAAAGUGACGGUACCUGCAGAAAAAGCACCGGCUAACUACGUGCCAGCCGCCGCGGUAACAC